AAUAAUUGUUUCCACUGGUUAUUUUAUUUUGAACAUAAGUCGCUCUAAUCGAUUUGAUAUAUUGUUUUUUUUCGAUGAAAUGUUUUGUCAUAUACUUCGAUAAUAAUAUAUAUUAUAGAAAAAAUGAUACGGUUAAUAGUUGAGUAUUAGAAAAAUUAUAGAGAAUCGUUCAUCGAAUGACCUUAAGGAUGGCAAAAAAGCGAAAAUAAAUAUAAAAGUAUUUAAAGACACAGAGAAAGGACACAAAAGAAACGAAAGGAGGGAAAAGGAUUAUGCGCUUAGAUAUCCUAGAAGAAAAAUAACGGUAAACAGAAUGAUAUGAUUCGUUAUUAAUAAGUUAUGACGUUAUGAACGUCGAGUAAGAUACUUGGGGGCGGAAACAAUUUGCGAGAAAUUCAGAGAGUAGGGGUAAAAGAUAAUCGAAAGUGGGGUAACGAACAAGACUAUAAAUUCGUAAAAAUUAUUAGUUCGACGAUCUGACUGACAAAAGUGUGUUACAGACGGGAACUAAUAGUUCGUAGCGGAGUCAAUAACCUUUGACUGUUUCGAUGUGAUAUAUACAUAGGCUUACAUAAUGAAAGAAGAAGAAAUCGAUUCAUCGUAAAAAUUUUUAUUUCUGAAAAGAGCAGCAUCUACAUUUUAUAGAAAAGAUAUAUUCGAUGGAAUUUUCUCGAUCAUCGAAAAUGAACAGUUGAUUCUUUUUAAUAAUAGAGAGAAACAUCAUUGCAGUACAAGGAGAAUGAUUCUGAAAUUCCGUUGGACAAAUAUAUUAAGAUUCUGUAUCUUCUUUAAGAUUUUUUGAAGAAAAGACAGCAGUAUCAUCCAGAAAUUCUGCAGAAUAGAAUUCAACUUAUUUAUUAUCACGUUCCAUUUUCAAGGAUAGUAAUAUCAAUUAAUAUAUAUAGAUUAUCGAUAUUAUUUAUGGAAUAUUGAUCUAUCACUAAUGGAAACUGGUGAAUAAUGCUACAUGAUACAGAUGUUAGCUACACAUAGAUUUAGAUUAUGACGAACUGAAUUUAAGUAGAAUGAAUUAAUCAACAUUUGCUAAUCAUAAUAACGAUUAGAUUAAUAUUCAAGUUUUAACUAAAUAUUGGAAUAAACGGAUUCACACAUAAAAAAUAAGGGUUAGAAAAGUUUUAACAAUGUAACAAUUGUACUUCACCUACACCUGUGAAGAUAUCGAAAGUGAAAGAUUCAAAAAGUAUAGAUUUCAUAUAUCACAAGUAAAUUCUCAAGAAUAAGAAAAACAUUUCGAUGCCAAGAAUGUCUAUUGUUGUAGUUGAAUGUGAAUCGUUGGAACACAGUUGAUAGCAAGUAAUAGUUGACAAACCACAAAAAAAGUUUAAAACGCCUAUUCGGGAUACGAUAAAUGUUUGGAAUAUUAUCUGGGAAAUUAUUUCAUUAAAAAACUAUUCAAAUGUGAUAGAUGUUCUUAUUCUUGCGUGAACAAGUCAAUGUUUGAUAGCAAUGUAAAAUAUCGUUUGAACGUUUAUCAGUAUACUAUGGGUUGUUGCUCUGCGAUGUUAUAAGUAUAAAUUAGAUUUAAGCAACAAGUACUCGUUUGCCGGGAUGAUAUUGAAUGUCCAUGGUUUACAUAAUCGGCUACCUAUUGUCGAUAAGUAUGAUAUCGAUAAUGGACUAAGAAGGAGAUUAGUAGUGGAGAAUUAGCAGAAAGGAAUUAUUAAAACGUGAUACUUGGAACCCAAUAACACAAUGUAGAAAACGAUACUUUCCUUCCAAGUAUUCUUCUUUAGGAUCUUCCCGUUAUUUUAUUUAUUUUGACUCUGUUGUAUAUCUCAUUGAUAUAAUAAUAUGUUAAAAUAUCAAUGGACAGGAUGAUUGACGAUUUUAAUGUUGCAGAUCGAUCCAUGGUCAUUACAUAUUGCAGAAAUUAUACCGAUUUUAUAUUACCAGAUCAGUUACCUUAAAUUUAGCAAAUCCAAAAAACAUUAGUAUCCCAGGGUAUCUUUUUCGUGUGGCAACGAGAUCAAAAAGAACUGCCUCAACAAGAACAAAUGUUGUUAAAGAGAAAAUAGAAAAUGUAUAAUCUUGAUCUUCAAUAGACUACGAAGGAAAAUAAAACCGAUGAAGAAACAACAUCAUAACAUCGUCAAAAUUCACAAGGACAAUCUUUACUCCUUGGAAAAUUAUUUGGAAGAUCAUUAAUUGGAAAAUAAAUCAGAUCCUCAAAUAUACAGAAGAUCCUUCGAAAUAUUAUUUUAAAGGUUAUCUUGAUUAUCAUUAUCUAUUUUGAGACUCAUUUCUAAUAUCAAAUUUGACUUAAAUUAAAAGACAUUAUUCUGUUCACAUGGUAAUAUAAU